GACGAACGCUGGCGGCGUGCCUAACACAUGCAAGUCGAACGAGGUCCAUCCUUCGGGAGAAGACCUAGUGGCGAACGGGUGAGUAACACGUGAGGAACCUGCCCCGAAGACCGGGAUAACUUUCCGAAAGGGAAGCUAAUACCGGAUACCCCCACCGAACCGCAUGGUUUGGUGAGGAAAUGGAUUCCGCUUCGGGAGGGCCUCGCGGCCUAUCAGCUAGUUGGUGGGGUAACGGCCCACCAAGGCAUCGACGGGUAGCUGGUCUGAGAGGACGAUCAGCCACACUGGGACUGAGACACGGCCCAGACUCCUACGGGAGGCAGCAGUGGGGAAUCUUGCGCAAUGGGCGAAAGCCUGACGCAGCAACGCCGCGUGGGGGAUGAAGGCUCUCGGGUUGUAAACCCCUUUCAGCAGGGACGAAUCAAGACGGUACCUGCAGAAGAAGCCCCGGCUAACUACGUG
rnacentral:rRNA from 1 species